GAUGAAGAACGUAGCGAAAUGCGAUAAGUAGUGUGAAUUGCAGAAUUCAGUGAAUCAUCGAAUCUUUGAACGCACAUUGCGCCCCCUGGUAUUCCGGGGGGCAUGCCUGUUCGAGCGUCAUUUCACCACUCAAGCCUCGCUUGGUAUUGGGCAACGCGGUCCGCCGCGUGCCUCAAAUCGACCGGCUGGGUCUUCUGUCCCCUAAGCGUUGUGGAAACUAUUCGCUAAAGGGUGUUCGGGAGGCUACGCCGUAAAACAACCCCAUUUCUAAGGUUGACCUCGGAUCAGGUAGGGAUACCCGCUGAACUUAAGCAUAUCAAUAAGCGGAGGA
rnacentral:misc_RNA from 1 species